UACGUAGGUGGCAAGCGUUGUCCGGAUUUACUGGGCGUAAAGCGUAUGCAGGCGGACCGUUAAGUAGGAAGUGAAAGGUUGGAGCUCAACUCUAACACUGCUCCCUAUACUGGCGGUCUUGAGUGGCGGAGAGGAAGAUGGAACGACACGUGUAGCGGUGAAAUGCGUUGAUAUGUGUCGGAACACCAAUGGCGAAGGCAGCCUUCUGGGCCAACACUGACGCUCAUGCACGAAAGCGUGGGGAGCAAACAGG
rnacentral:rRNA from 1 species